rnacentral:rRNA from 1 species
UACGGAGGAUUCAAGCGUUAUCCGGAUUUAUUGGGUUUAAAGGGUGCGUAGGUUGUUUUUUAAGUCAGCGGUGAAAGUUUGUGGCUCAACCAUAAAAUUGCCGUUGAAACUGGCGGGCUGGAGUUGGAGAGAAGUACGCGGAAUGCGCGGUGUAGCGGUGAAAUGCUUAGAUAUCGCGCAGAACCCCGAUUGCGAAGGCAGCGUACCGGCUCCACACUGACGCUGAGGCACGAAAGCGUGGGUAUCGAACAGG